rnacentral:rRNA from 1 species
ACGAUGUCACUAGCUGUUGGGGCCGUUAGGCCUUAGUAGCGCAGCUAACGCGUGAAGUUGACCGCCUGGGGAGUACGGUCGCAAGAUUAAAACUCAAAGGAAUUGACGGGGACCCGCACAAGCGGUGGAUGAUGUGGAUUAAUUCGAUGCAACGCGAAAAACCUUACCUACCCUUGACAUGUCUGGAAAGCCGAAGAGAUUUGGCCGUGCUCGCAAGAGAACCGGAACACAGGUGCUGCAUGGCUGUCGUCAGCUCGUGUCGUGAGAUGUUGGGUUAAGUCCCGCAACGAGCGCAACCCUUGUCAUUAGUUGCUACGCAAGAGCACUCUAAUGAGACUGCCGGUGACAAACCGGAGGAAGGUGGGGAUGACGUCAAGUCCUCAUGGCCCUUAUGGGUAGGGCUUCACACGUCAUACAAUGGUCGGGACAGAGGGUCGCCAACCCGCGAGGGGGAGCCAAUCUCAGAAACCCGAUCGUAGUCCGGAUCGCAGUCUGCAACUCGACUGCGUGAAGUCGGAAUCGCUAGUAAUCGCGGAUCAGAAUGUCGCGGUGAAUACGUUCCCGGGUCUUGUACACACCGCCCGUCACACCAUGGGAGUGGGUUUCACCAGAAGUAGGUAGCCUAACCGUAAGGAGGGCGCU